rnacentral:rRNA from 1 species
UACGUAGGGUGCAAGCGUUGUCCGGAAUUAUUGGGCGUAAAGAGCUCGUAGGCGGUCUGUCGCGUCGGAUGUGAGACCCCGAGGCUUAACCUCGGGCCUGCAUUCGAUACGGGCAGACUAGAGUUCGGUAGGGGAGACUGGAAUUCCUGGUGUAGCGGUGAAAUGCGCAGAUAUCAGGAGGAACACCGGUGGCGAAGGCGGGUCUCUGGGCCGAUACUGACGCUGAGGAGCGAAAGCGUGGGUAGCGAACAGG